rnacentral:rRNA from 1 species
CAGCCGCCGCGGUAAUACGAAGGGUGCAAGCGUUAAUCGGAAUUACUGGGCGUAAAGCGUGCGUAGGCGGUGAGUUACGUCUGCUGUGAAAUCCCCGGGCUCAACCUGGGAAUGGCAGUGGAUACUGGCUCGCUAGAGUGUGUCAGAGGAUGGUGGAAUUCCCGGUGUAGCGGUGAAAUGCGUAGAGAUCGGGAGGAACAUCAGUGGCGAAGGCGGCCAUCUGGGACAACACUGACGCUGAGGCACGAAAGCGUGGGGAGCAAACAGGAUUAGAUACCCCGGUAGUCCCUGUCUCUUAUAC